rnacentral:lncRNA from 1 species
CUGUAAUCAGUUGCAGUAAGGACUCACCAAAAAAAUGGUUUGCUGAAGAACAUCAGACAAGAAAGGGUUGAAUGAAUCCAGCCUCUAAGAGGCGCUGUGAAUCAGCGUGAUCCAAAGGCUUAGGGUUGGAUUCGGCUCUGGGGGCGGGAAGACGCAGGCGGAGGCUCCGCCCCACCCAGGGCGCAUGCGCAUGCGCCCGCCAGGCCCCCCUCCGGCCCCGCCCCAUCCUGCUCUGGCUCCCACCUCCGUUCAGGACACUGGGUUCCUUAGGAGCCGCCCCAGGCUUAAUGAUUGUCCAGAAGUUGGCUAUAAAGGGAGCCUGGGAGGCUGAUUGGAGGAGGGAGCAGAAAAAGCCUAACUCAGCAGGUCUGGGCACCGAGAGCCGAAAGCAGGAGCUGUGGUCAGAAGCUCGUGUCCCAGCCGGUAGGGCCUGCUCUCUCCCACCAUGGCGGCCCGAGGCUACGGCUAUUAUCGUGCUGUGAUCUUCUCAGCCAUGUUUGGAGGCUACAGCCUGUACUACUUCAACCGCAAGACCUUCUCCUUUGUCAUGCCGUCGCUGGUGGAAGAGAUCCGUCUGGACAAGGAUGACUUGGGGCUCAUCACCAGUAGCCAGUCAGCAGCCUAUGCCAUCAGCAAGUUUGUGAGUGGGGUGCUGUCUGACCAGAUGAGUGCUCGCUGGCCCAGGGGCUGGGCUGGCCCCCGUGUGGCAAGAUCUUGCGGAAGUGGUUUGAGCCAUCUCAGUUUGGCACUUGGUGGGCCAUCCUAUCAACUAGCAUGAACCUGGCUGGAGGGCUGGGCCCCAUCCUGGCAACCAUCCUCGCCCAGAGCUAUAGCUGGCGUAGCACGCUGGCCCUGUCUGGGGCCUUGUGUGUGGUUGUCUCCUUCCUCUGUCUCCUGCUCAUCCACAAUGAACCUGCUGAUGUUGGACUCCGCAACCUGGACCCUAUCCCCUCCAAGGGCAAGAAGGGCUCCUCAAAGGAGGAGAGUACCUUACAGGAGCUGCUGCUGACCCCCUACCUGUGGGUGCUCUCCAUUGGCUACCUUGUGGUAUUUGGCGUAAAGACGUGCUGUACUGACUGGGGCCAGUUCUUCCUUAUCCAGGAGAAAGGACAGUCAGCCCUCGUGGGUAGCUCCUACAUGAGUGCCCUGGAGGUUGGGGGCCUUGUAGGCAGCAUCGCAGCUGGCUACUUGUCAGACCGGGCCAUGGCAAAGGCAGGGCUGUCCAUCCACGGGAACCCCCGCCAUGGCCUGCUGCUGCUCAUGAUGGCUGGCAUGACAGCAUCCAUGUACCUCUUCCGGGUAACUGUGACCAGUGACUCCCCUAAGGAUGCUGCUUUCUGGACUCCAGCUCUGCACCCUCUUGCUGAGCUCACAGGCUUUACGGAGCACGAGCUCUGGAUCCUGGUGUUGGGAGCUGUGUUUGGUUUCUCCUCUUAUGGUCCCAUUGCCUUGUUUGGAGUCAUAGCCAAUGAGAGUGCCCCUCCCAACCUGUGUGGCACCUCCCAUGCCAUUGUGGGACUCAUGGCCAAUGUGGGUGGCUUUCUGGCUGGGUUGCCCUUCAGCACCAUUGCCAAGCAUUACAGCUGGAGCACAGCCUUCUGGGUGGCUGAAGUGAUCUGUGCGGCCAGUACAGGUGCCUUCUUCCUCCUACGAAACAUCCGCACCAAGAUGGGCCGAGUGCCAAAGAAGGCUGAGUGAAGACCGUGCAAACUCUGGAGCGUCCUUUCUCACCUGUGUCAUGGGGGUUGGGAAAGGGAGGGAGGGGGCUGCUCUGGCAGCACCACCUUUGACUUUCUUUUUCUGCACCUUUUCCCUCACCCAGGUGGUGCUGGAAGUUAUCAGUGGCUAAUGAGGUCCCAGCUCCCCAUCCUAUCUCUAUUUAAAAAACAAGUUUUGGGAGUUCUCACUGUAGCACAGUGGGUUAGGAAUCCAAUUGCAGUGGCUUGGGUUGCUGCAGAGGUGUAGGUUCAACCCCUGGCCCAGCAUAGCAGGUUAAAGGACCCAGCAUUGCUACAGCUGCAGUUCGGAUUAGAUUCUUGACCCAGGAACUUCCAUAUGCCUCAGGUGCAGCCAUAAAAAUUAAAAAAAAAAAAAAGAGAGAGAGAGAGAGAGAGAGAAAACCUUUGUUUCUGGACUCCGUUAGUUCUUGCCUUCAAACUGGAAACCCCAGCACUCAGGGAGUCUCCUAUACCCUUCUCCCUCUCCUGGGCUCCGUCCUGUCCCCAUCACACACCAUCCCCACCUGAGGUGACGCUCCUGUAGCAGGACAGCAGUAGCCCGGGACUGCCCUGAGACCUCUCAGCAGGGGGCAGUUGCUAUUGCCAAUACCUUGGACUCCAGUGGAAGAGGGGAGGCCGUCACUCUUACCGAUACCUUGGGUACAGUAGGGGGUAAGGGUGGGAGGGUACAGAGACUUGUUAUAGAAAAUUAAA